rnacentral:rRNA from 1 species
GCCCUACGGGGCGCAGCAGGCGCGAAACCUCUGCAAUGCGGGAAACCGUGACAGGGGGAUCCCAAGUGCUCAUGCAUUGCAUGGGCUGUUCUUUGGUCUAAGUAACCAGAGGAGUAAGGGCUGGGCAAGACCGGUGCCAGCCGCCGCGGUAAUACCGGCAGCUCAAGUGGUAGCCGCGAUUAUUGGGCCUAAAACGUUCGUAGCCGGAUAAGUAAGUCUUUGGUUAAAUCCUGCGACUCAACCGUGGGAAUUCUAGAGAUACUGCUCGUCUUGAGACCGGGAGAGGUUGGAGGUACUCCUAGGGUAGGGGUGAAAUCCUGUAAUCCUAGGGGGACCACCUGUGGCGAAGGCGUCCAACUGGAACGGGUCUGACGGUGAGGGACGAAACCUAGGGGAGCGAGCCGGAUUAGAUACCCGGGUAGUCCUAGGCGUAAAUGAUGCGAGUUAAGUGUGGGGGCAUCUACGAGAUGGCCCUGUGCUGUAGGGUAGCCGUUAAACUCGCUGCCUGGGGAGUACGGUCGCAAGGCUGAAACUUAAAGGAAUUGGCGGGGGAGCACCACAAGAGGUGGAGGCUGCGGUUCAAUUGGACUCAACGCCGGAAAACUCAUCG